rnacentral:piRNA from 1 species
UGUUAAAGUUUUGCGAACUUAAAGGGC